AGGCAACGGCUGCCUGUCGGGCGGCGUGCGGAGCGGUCAUGGACGCCUCAGCGAAAGUCCGUGGCUUUGUCGCCGAAUAUAAACAACGUUAGCUACGUUACCUGAGCAGUAUUUGUCUUUGCUUAGAAAACGGGCAGCUGAAAGAUGAUGUAUGUGAGCCAGCGUUCUCUGGACCUCAUGUUUUCCCUUAUUCUGCUGGCCAUGGUGCUGCUGUCCUGGGGGUACGUGAUCUAUGGCACACGCGUAGCUGCACAGUGGGAGCUGGAGAAGAGAGUGAAUACCCAGCCGUGAUGUGCAGCAUCACAGCGUGGAGAAGCCAGUGUCCUAGGGGACGUGUGUGUACGCCAUGCUAGUGCAGGUGCAGACACUGCUAAUGUUCUUAUAUUCAUUCUUGCAUUCAUAUGGACUUGGCAAAAUGAAUGACCCCUAAGCUGAUUUGCAGAGGUGUGUCUGUAUGUUGGAUGUGCCUAUUUUUAAGAAAUGCAUUUUUAAUGAAACAUUUCCAUAAAUUUUAAGCAAUUAUUAAAAAAAAAAAAUCUUCCUUUACAACCGUUGACGUCUGUAGUAGAAAUGAUGUAAAAAUAAAUACCAGUUUCAACCACUAGAUGACGCUCAUCGUAAAUAAAACGAGGGGCACUGCACAAUGGCCGAUAUCCGCACAGCCGUGUCUGAGCUAGGCUUA